rnacentral:rRNA from 1 species
GAUGAACGCUGGCGGCGUGCUUAACACAUGCAAGUCGAACGGUGAACACGGAGCUUGCUCUGUGGGAUCAGUGGCGAACGGGUGAGUAACACGUGAGCAACCUGCCCCUGACUCUGGGAUGAGCGCUGGAAACGGCGUCUAAUACUGGAUAUGUGACGUGACCGCAUGGUCUGCGUUUGGAAAGAUUUUUCGGUUGGGGAUGGGCUCGCGGCCUAUCAGCUUGUUGGUGAGGUAAUGGCUCACCAAGGCGUCGACGGGUAGCCGGCCUGAGAGGGUGACCGGCCACACUGGGACUGAGACACGGCCCAGACUCCUACGGGAGGCAGCAGUGGGGAAUAUUGCACAAUGGGCGCAAGCCUGAUGCAGCAACGCCGCGUGAGGGAUGACGGCCUUCGGGUUGUAAACCUCUUUUAGCAGGGAAGAAGCGAAAGUGACGGUACCUGCAGAAAAAGCGCCGGCUAACUACGUG